GACGAGCGCUGGCGGCGUGCCUAAUACAUGCAAGUCGAACGGUCUUUUCUAUGGAAGCUUGCUUCCGCUGAGAAGAUAGUGGCGAACGGGUGAGUAACACGUGGGUAACCUGCCCAUAAGAGGGGGAUAACAUCCGGAAACGGGUGCUAAUACCGCAUAGGUUUCUUGGUCGCAUGAUCGAGAAAGGAAAGACGGCCUUUGUGCUGUCGCUUAUGGAUGGACCAGCGGCGUAUUAGUUAGUUGGUGAGGUAACGGCUCACCAAGACGAUGAUACGUAGCCGACCUGAGAGGGUGAUCGGCCACAUUGGGACUGAGACACGGCCCAAACUCCUACGGGAGGCAGCAGUAGGGAAUCUUCCGCAAUGGACGAAAGUCUGACGGAGCAACGCCGCGUGAGUGAAGAAGGUUUUCGGAUCGUAAAACUCUGUUGUCAGAGAAGAACAAGUCGGAGAGUAACUGCUCCGACCUUGACGGUAUCUGACCAGAAAGCCACGGCUAACUACGUGCCAGCCGCCGCAGUAAGAC
rnacentral:rRNA from 1 species